CUACUAAUGAUUAAAAUAUCAAGACAAUUACGGAUCAAGAAUUUUAAUUUAGCAAUAAAAUUUAUUCAAGUCCUAUCUAAUUGGCCACUCAAAUAAAACAAGAAUAAACCAUGAACAUUAAUUAUAGAAGAACAUAAACAAUCUCAAUUAAAUAAAUUGAAUGAUAGAAUUUAAAUUUAAUUGCAUAGCAUGUUUAGGGUUUUGAAUUCACCCUCAACCAAAUAAAAAUUUAGCCUAACAUAAUUGAAUUGGGAAUAAGAAAAUUGAUAAAACCAGUCAUGAAAAUUAAUUCAAGCGGCUGCCUUUUUCUUCAAUUGAAUUCCGGCUGCUGAUUUUUUUCUUCUUCUUGCCGAAUUGGAUCAGCCCCUGCUCUCUCUCUCUCUUGUUGCCCGAAUUCUCCUCUUCUCUUUAUUGCUUCCGCUUGAUCCUAUUUAUAAUGCUUCAAUUGUGGCUUUGUUUAAAUCCUUGCCUGGAGAGAAUUAAAUUCCAAGCUCAAAACCGCCACCUCAUGCUUCAAUUAAUAAGCCAAUAAUGAUUUCCUAAAGACAAAAGGCUUUAUUCUCUUUCCUUUCACGUGUCCACUUUUGGUUUGCAAUCUUUGUUUUCCAAUUUUGCUUUCAUGUGAUGGCUUGGCUUGUUAAUUGGCUUGGCUUCCUUUUUCUUCAAUUCCUUUUCGGUUUCUCCCUUGCUUUUCCUUCUUCCGGCUGCUAGUUCCUCAAAAUCAAAAGCCAAAAGUUGGCUUUUAUACUGCCCAAGAUUGGCCGUAUUUUAAAGCAAUUAAUUUGUUUCCUUUAAUUGCCAUGCACAUGCCAUUUCAAUUCUUUAUUUCCAAUGCUUUGUCCACCACUUGUUUAGGCAAUUCACGUGCAUGAAAUAUGGCCAUUUCCUUUUUCUUCUUUGUUCAAUUUGCUUCCCAUAUUAACCAAUGAGCAAGCCAAAGCCACUUUAAUGCUUG
rnacentral:lncRNA from 1 species